GGUAUGCAUAGCAUCCUGUGGUCAGCUGGCAGGACUGCCCUGCUAUUUGGAUCACUCACAGGCUACAGAAACAUGCUGAGCAGGGAGGGCCACGCGGCCAGUGGGAUGGUGGGACUAAGGAACCGAGAGGGACUUUUGGGGCUCCCAGAUUCCGUGAAUGUCAUUGCCAACCAGCUUCCACUUAUGAUCUGUUCCCCAGUGCUGCUGUGCUUCCUCUGGGCUGCCACUUGAUCAACUCCUCACUCAGUGUGGACCCAAGACACCCCCGAUCAUGGACCUUUGGGUAAGAACAGAGCCUUCAACCAUGCUCGGUCCACUUUUGGUGCAAUUCACCAGGCUAAACCCGGACUAGAUGUCAACACGGGAGGUCCCUGCUCUCAUCAGCACUCCUGUCAGCAUCCGAAAUAAGGGCACCUGGACACCUUGGACCUUAUGUGUAAAGCAAACGUGGCGGGAUUCUGAGAAGUAGAGGGAAGAAGGCAGACUGUUUAGGAAUCUCAGGACCCAAGGAAUGACAUGGUGGAACUUCGCCCAAAUGCAUCCAAAAGUGGGACAAAAACAUCACAAGCUGUGUUCUCUCGAUCCCAGGAAGCAAAAUCAAAGAGCGUCUCCACCCUGGGUACCGAAGCGUCCACCUUCAGGAGCGUCCCUCUUGAAAACUACUUGUGUAUUGCAUCCUUCCUGAAACUAAAUCCACGGAAGAAAAACGUGCUCCAAACACCAGAGUGUUUUUAAACAAGCCUUCUUAACUAUCCUAAAUAUGGAGAAGGGGCAAACAGAUUCUAUUUCAUUAACAAAAUUCAUGGCCAGCUCCUAACACACUCAUUCUACAAGUAUUUGUUGACCACCUACUAUGUGCUGGUCACUUUUCCAGCUCUGGUGAUAUAGCCAUGAAAGAAGAGGCAAAAAUGGCUGUCCUUGUAGAGGACAUUCUAGAGGGCAGAGCCAGCCUGAAAUACUUACAAUAAGUAAGUCUUAAAGCAUGUGAGAAAAUCCUCAGUUUUGAGGAGGUGAAGGAAGUAUGGGAUGGAGAUAGGGAGUGCCAGAGAAGGGGCAUCUGCAAACAGCUAGAGAAGAAAAGCCCACGUGGAGGCUUGUGAAGGGGGUGAGGAGAUGAGCCACACAGAUACUGCCGGGAAAGGAGGUUCUUGUCAGAGGAAACAGAAGGGCAGUGCUCAGAAGCACCAGUAGAAGCGCCAGCCAUGUUUGGGGGCCUUCAUAGAGGCCCGGGAGGCUGAGAAGGACACCAGAGAAAUGUGUAAAUGUAUACAGACCCCGGCUGUAAGGACUUUGACCAUGCUGUGAGUGAAAGGGGGAAUCCCUAAGAAGUUUUGAGCACAUAAUGGAUGACAUAAUCCAACUUAAGUAGUUUUUGUUUUGUUCAAUGUUUUUCAAUUGUGAUCAAAUACAUACAUUUACCAUCCUAACCAUUUGUAAGUGUACAGUUAGUGAUCUUAAGUACAUGCACAUAUCCAGAAGUCUUUUCGUCUUGCAAAACUAAAACUCUAUAGAUACUAAACAACACCCUGCU